GUCAAAUUUUGGUACAAAAUUCAAUAAAUUAAAAUUUUUCAUAUCAAAUCAUUAAGAAUAAAAAAAUUAGAUGAGAAAGUAUACUUAAAUCUAUCUCAAAAUUGACAACUUUCUCUUUUUUAAAGAUGGAACCACAAAAACGUUCCCCACUUUGCCCUCACCCACUUUCUCCCUCCGUUCCUUCCCUAUUCUCUUCCAAUUUUUCUGUCAUCUUUUUCUGCUUUCUUUUUCUUUCUCUCAAUAGAGUUUUUCUUUUCCUCUCUUCCGUUUCUUUUUCUUGAUCUAUAAAAUUCCACCGAUUGUUGGAAAGACCAAGAGAGGAAAAUUAAAUCAAAAUUAAAUCACAAGUAUAGGCAAAAGCGCAAGAUAACAACAGAUGAACAUGUUGCCGAGAUUAAACACUUGAAAGAGGAAAAUGAACAGUUAAAUGCUGAGAAUAGAAGGUUAAAACAGAAAAUACUGCUCACCCGUGGGCAACUUGAGCAUCAAUGUUUUUCAGCCCAGGUAUUUAGUUACUAUCCUUAUCGAAAAGGGGUGCGGCUUGUGGAGUUUCUACAUAAUGUGCUUAAUCUAAAGACCCUUAUUCUAGAUCUGGUAUGAAGAAUUCUCUAAGUGCUCUUAUUCAUUUAUCGAUAAUUACAUCAAAACUUGAAGCAUACAAACCAACUAACAUCUCUUUUUAAUUUUGUGUGGGAGUUUAGGCUGAUGGUGAAGAAGUAUUGAGGUCACUACUUAUACUUUCUUGUUUAUCAUUUCAUAUCAAGGAGACCAAAAUUUCUGGAGUUGAUGAAAGCAAAUAUGCGUUUGAAAUGAUUAGUUAUUUCUUGAACUAUGCAAUGGUUCUAGAGAAGCACAUAUUAAGAAUGAUUAACCUGCUUGAAAAAAGAUGAAUUGUGUAUCUUGAAAAAACUAUUGAGGUUACCAACGAAUUCAAAGAAAUGUGAAGUUGUCGUACACUAGUAUUUCUUAUGUUAUGGUUGGAACUAUUCACUAUCUCUAUAAGUUUGGUUUUGUGUAGCACUUUUGAGAAAUUAAAUGCCAUAUGGUGUUGUGGUUAGAAAUGUUCAUUGUUUGCUAUAUGUGUAUUUGGUUUAUGUAACAGGUUAGAACAGUUUGUUGAAUGUAGUGGGUUUGAUUUUGGGUAGCCCUUUUUGUUGGGUUCAGAUAGAAGCAGCUGCUUCGCAUGAUAAUAGAAUCAUUAUUUUGUGGUUUUGAUUUUUCCUCUGUCAUUGAUAUUCAACGUUUCACUCAAUCAUAAAGAACAUCAUAUCAUGCUUGUACGUUAUUUCUACAAGCUAUUAUAUUUGGACUAUAUAACAGAACAAGCCUAUUUCUACAAACUAUUACUGUGCUCCUCGGUAAAGCAUAUGUGCAUCUUGAAUGUUGUACCUUAUUUUGCUGGUGGAUAUAUAUGUGCUUUGGUUUCAUGAGGAAAUGCAAUGAGAUGCUUUAUUUAUUUUUACAGUUUUUGUUGACAGAGGAAAACCAUACUCACUUGAAUCUUCAUUUGCUUUGUAAUACAGGCCAGAAAGACACCAUCAAUGGAAUCUGUUGAUUCUUCUGGUGAAGAAGAGUAAGUUAUUCAUUACAUUUAUAGCUUUCUGUUUUAUUAUUUGGAUUUCUUUUAACUAGUAUCUCUGCAUUUGAAAACUUACUCAGGCUUUGUGCUUCUGCAAUUCUUGCUUAGCACAAGCAUGAAUCUUAGUCCAUCUUAAUCAUUUGAUAGUCAAUUGUUUGUAUGAUCUGACUCUGAGAUUGCAGCUAAUGUGGGCUGGUUUUUUUAAUCAUUGCUGAUUUGUAUUGAUAACAUUUGGAUCAACAAAUUUCCCAUCCUCACUACUUUCCAUAUCUAAAUGAUUGACCUAUUUAAAAACUAAAUAAUCUAACAGGUGAUGGUGAUUCCAAUGAAACAAAUCAACCCCUAAAGUGGAAUAUAAAUCAUUUCCACAAACUAAAGGUAAACAAAAGAAUCAACCCCACAAAUUCUAUUCUAUAAUAAGUAGUAUCAAUUAUGAACUAAAACAAGAUAAAUCGAUGCUUACCUACUUCAAGUAUAGGAAUAAUGAUUGACAAUUAGUUGGUGUGACGGAUUUACUUCUGUUCCAAACCAGAUAGAACAUCUCACCACCCUUUGUGAGUUGAAUUUCGAUUAUUGUAUUCAUUUGAGGUCAUUUCCUCAAGGGAUAAAAAGUUUCACAACACUCAAGAACCUAUACAUUCGAAGAUGCCCACAUUUGGAAAAGUGGUGCAACUAAGGGGGAGGAAAGGGUUGGCUUUACAUAGCACAUGUUCCCUGUAUUGAAAUCACGGCUUAUUUUAGCAUGGUACUCUAAGCGACGAAGAUCCCAUGGCAGUCUCUUUGCAAGGUUUGGUGAUUGAACAUUUGGCCUAGCAAGUAAGUUGUUGAAAUGUAAGCCGGAGUUAUGAAUAACAAGGUAAUGGGCGAGUGAAAAUGCUGUUAUCUAAGUUCAACAUAAUCUGCACCAUCUACGAUUUAUGUUAUUUGGAUUCAUUCGAUUGUAGGUGUUGAGUAAAGUAUGUAUGAUGUAUCUAGUGUAGGUCUAUUCAAUAUUUUUGAGAUUUUUAUAUACAAAAUUCUUAAAAGAUCCAUGUUUAAAUGUUAAUAAUACUAUAUGCUAUUUGCUCAAAAAAUGAACUUGACAAAAUGAAAAAAAAAUGGUAGCUCCUUAGUAGAACCACUAGUCUCUCUCUGGCAUGUAAUAAUUUUGAGAAAGAAAAUAUUGGUAUAGUUAUUGUUUUAUUUUGUAUUCACAUGUACGU